AAAGCGGACCGACGGGGAGCUUGCUCCCUUAGGUCAGCGGCGGACGGGUGAGUAACACGUGGGUAACCUGCCUGUAAGACUGGGAUAACUCCGGGAAACCGGGGCUAAUACCGGAUGCUUGAUUGAACCGCAUGGUUCAAUCAUAAAAGGUGGCUUUUAGCUACCACUUACAGAUGGACCCGCGGCGCAUUAGCUAGUUGGUGAGGUAACGGCUCACCAAGGCGACGAUGCGUAGCCGACCUGAGAGGGUGAUCGGCCACACUGGGACUGAGACACGGCCCAGACUCCUACGGGAGGCAGCAGUAGGGAAUCUUCCGCAAUGGACGAAAGUCUGACGGAGCAACGCCGCGUGAGUGAUGAAGGUUUUCGGAUCGUAAAACUCUGUUGUUAGGGAAGAACAAGUACCGUUCGAAUAGGGCGGCACCUUGACGGUACCUAACCAGAAAGCCACGGCUAACUACGUGCCAGCAGCCGCGGUAAUACGUAGGUGGCAAGCGUUGUCCGGAAUUAUUGGGCGUAAAGCGCGCGCAGGCGGUUUCUUAAGUCUGAUGUGAAAGCCCCCGGCUCAACCGGGGAGGGUCAUUGGAAACUGGGGAACUUGAGUGCAGAAGAGGAGAGUGGAAUUCCACGUGUAUCGGUGAAAUGCGUAGAGAUGUGGAGGAACACCAUUGGCGAAGGCAACUCUCUGGUCUGUAACUGACGCUGAGGCGCGAAUCGUGGGGAAAAACAGGAUUAUAUACCCUGGUAUUUCACCCCGUA
rnacentral:rRNA from 1 species